rnacentral:rRNA from 1 species
CAAUACUAGCCCUAAGCAUAACCAACACUAAUACCAAACUAACACGCACUAAACCAUUCACCUACACAAAGUAUAGGCGAUAGAAAUUUUAAUCUGGCGCUAUAGACGCAGUACCGUAAGGGAAAGAUGAAACCACCCAAGCACAAAACAGCAAGGACUAACCCCUGUACCUUUCGCAUAAUGAAUUAGCUAGAAACAAUUUCACAAAGAGAACUACAAGCCAAAUUCCCCGAAACCAGACGAGCUACCCAAAAACAGCUAAAAGAGCGCACCCAUCUAUGUGGCAAAAUAGUGGGAAGAUUUCUGGGUAGAGGUGACAAGCCUACCGAGCCUGGUGAUAGCUGGUUAUCCAAGAUAGAAUUUUAGUUCAACCUUAAGUUUACCUGUAGAACUACCCAAUCCCCCUGUAAACUUAAUUGUUAGUCUAAAGAGGGACAGCUCUUCAGACAUCAGGAAAAAACCUUGUAUAGAGAGUAAAAAAUCUGACCUCCAUAGUUGGCCCAAAAGCAGCCAUCAAUUAAGAAAGCGUUCAAGCUCNACAUCAAUUAUAUAAAAAUUCCAAACACACCACUAAACUCCUUAUUCCACAUUGGAUUAAUCUAUCAUUUCAUAGAAGCAACAAUGCUAAUAUAAGUAACAUGAACAUUUUCUCCGCCGCAUAAGCCUAAAUCAGACUGAAAAACUUCACCGAUGCUUAACAGCCUAACACUAACAAACAGAAACAAGUCAGUAUUACUCACACUGUUAACCCGACACAGGCAUGCUUUAAGGAAAGGUUAAAAAAAGUAAAAGGAACUCAGCAAA